rnacentral:rRNA from 1 species
UACGAAGGGGGCUAGCGUUGCUCGGAAUUACUGGGCGUAAAGCGCACGUAGGCGGCUUUCUAAGUCGGGGGUGAAAUCCUGGAGCUCAACUCCAGAACUGCCUUCGAUACUGGAGAGCUUGAGUCCGGGAGAGGUGAGUGGAACUGCGAGUGUAGAGGUGAAAUUCGUAGAUAUUCGCAAGAACACCAGUGGCGAAGGCGGCUCACUGGCCCGGUACUGACGCUGAGGUGCGAAAGCGUGGGUAGCAAACAGG